CAGUUAUGAGGAUGUUUUGUCAUAACCAGGACAUGUACUGAUAGCAAAGAAAUACACUUUGUAUGGCUACCCUGUAACAAAACUCAAAUGAAAUUCAGGGUGAAGACCUUUCUCCUUGGCAGAGAAAACAGAAGAAAAUAGAAGCUGAGCUCUUCUGUCACAUUAUCAUCUAUUAUCAAGAUUCCAAUCAUUCCAGAUAGUUGCAUAGUUCUUUGAUUUGUUUCUGCAAAUAGGACUUAAAACAAAUAUCUAUUAUCUUGUGCUUUUCAUAUGGCGUUUAUUUCAUGUGUUGAUGAGGUUUACUCUAUUCAACAAGAUGUUAACUCCUUCAGAAGAGAGUCCUACUUCUUUUGUACCUACUAAGAAUACUCUUAAGUGCUCAGAAUGCUGCAGACUUUAAAUCAAAGCUCACAAAGUAAGAAAGAUAAUGUUGUUUAGAGGACAGUCCUUUAGAUUGAGAAUCAGACCACUUAGACGAUAGCCCCUGUUGUGUCCUUAAGUGACUUUAUGACUUUAGACUCUUUGCCCUUAGUUUCUUUCUAUAAAAUAAAAGGUGGAAUGACAUAAUCCCUAAAAUCUCUUCAUGCUACAUACUAUGGUCUGUAAAAUGACAGAAAACUGAACUAAAUGAUCUUUAAAACUCUUACAAUUCUAAAACUGUUAACUGGAGAAGAACAAUUCAUCUGGAGUGAUGAUGUAGAGAAGGAGAAUAGUAAAUAUAAAUAUCUCACAAACAGUUUGAUUCAUUUUCCACCGUCACUGAGAAUACCACAGUAAUUUUAUAAAGAUGGCAUGAAAAUCUGAGAGAUUUUUGAAAUUGGUCUUGAAUUUCAGUGCUGAUUUGUGGCUAUGUAUCAAGGUAAAAAUAAGGAUGAAGAAGUGACAGGUUUCCCCCAAAUCUCUAAACUGUAACAUAAGGAAGUCUCUUUCUUAGCUCAGUCAGCUAGAGGGAGAUAACAUAGUGUCCAGGCAUUCCUUAAUUGGAUGUUUCUUUUUCUCUGCCCAAAAAGAGGCUUUCCAUCUGUUCCAGCAUCUGCUCACUUUAGUUCAAGAAUCUUCCCAAUACAAGUAGGUGUGACAACUAUGGCAUCUUAGAAUAUUUUAUAAGAACUAAAUUUUUUUAAGGUGGGGCUAGAAAAUGAUUUUUACAAUCUUUUUAUAACUUCUUUCUUCAUGCAAAAGUUCAAACAAUUUGAUCAAAUGGAGCUUUUGUAUGUUUUAUCCCUCCAAACCAUUAUUUUAUAGGAAAAUUAAAAUGUAUGUCUUUUCUUAAAAACGAUUUCUGACAAGAACAGUAAGAAUCAAGAAAUAAGAGCUUUAUUAGUUGAAAGAGAUGUAUUUACUGAAUGGUAACAACCCCACUCUAGGGAUUUUCAAGAGAUUCUUGAUUUUAAUUCUGAAUUUGCCUCUAAACAAUUAUAUCAUCUUAGGUAAAUUAACUAAGUUUGACUCACUUUAUCUAGCAGAAAAAAGGACACUUUUAUAUCUUCUACCUUCUGCCUCCUAAUUAUUAUUUUUAAAAAUUCCCCUACUUAUUGCUUCUUCCACUUACAUGCUAUAUCAUUUACUUACCCUAAAUAUAUGGUAAAUCCAAUAUAUGUAUACAUAUUCAUACAAUUAUCAUGCUGCACAAGAAAAAUCACAUCAAACCAGUAAAAAAAAAAAAGAGAGAGAAGCAAAAUAAAAUGCAAGCAAACAACAACAGAAAGAGUGAAAAUACUAUGUUGUGGUCCACACUCAGUUCUCACAGUCAUCUCUGGGUGUAGAUGGUUCUCUUUAUCAGUGAACAAGUGGAACUGGUUUGAAUCAUCUCAUUGUUGAAGAGAGCCACUGUUGGAAUCUUUACAAACUGCUAACUCAUUAGAGUUGAUAGAUUAUUGAUCUGAUCUUACAAGAAGAUGUUUUGGGCCAGAACCUGAAACAAGGUACUAAGUAGAACUAAUUGAUACAAUGCUUGUGUUCGCACCUUUACUCUUUGGAGUUCACACGUUUGGGAAAUUUCAGAGUUUAGUAUGAGAUACCCAAAUUCACACCUCCCUUGAAGCUCUUAGGGCCAGAGAGCACUAUGAAAGAAAACCCAUAAUCCCAUUCUCUCAGAAGAGUCAUAUAUAAGCCAGUGAAGAGUGAUUCAUUCAAGAAUAUUUUCCACUUGACUGGCUGGUGGCGGAAGAAGAGAUUUCAGCAGAAUUACAUGAAGAGUGGAGUGGGCUGAAGAAAGCAGAGGCAGAAGCAAAGGACAAUCUGCAAGAGCUCUUGGAACCAAGCAGAGAUAUAGGCCUCAACUAACCAGGCUAUUUUGGAAGGAGAAAAUAAACAUUUGUAUUUCUACCAGCUGGCUGCAUUUAGGGUAAUUAUUGAUUUGAACUGAUACUAAGGCUGCCUCCAAGAAAACCUCCCUGAGAAACCUGCCCUCUCACCCAGAGAGAAUCAUCCACUAUUAUUUUAAAGAAGAAAAAAAAUACCACAAGCCACGUCCAUCAGAAUUGAUCAUUGUAUAAUCUUGUUGUUGCCAUGUACAAUGAUCUCCUAGUUCUGCUCAUUUCGCUUAGCAUCACUUCAUGUAAGUUUCUUCAGGCCUCUUUGAAAUCAUCCUGCUGGUCAUUUCUUACAGAACAAAAAUAUUCCAUAACAUUCAUAUACCAUAAUUUAUUCAGUCAUUCUCCAACUGAUGGGCAUCCACUCAAUUCCAGUUUCUUGCCACUACACAAAGGACUGCCAUAAACAUUUUUGCACAUGUGGGUCUGUUUCCUUCCCUUAAGAUCUCUUUGGGAUAUAAAAUCCCAGUAGAAACACUGCUGGAUCGAAGGGUAAGCACAGUUUGGUAACUUUUAAAGAAUAGUUCCAAAUUGCUCUCCAGAAUGGUAGGAUCCUUUCACAGUGCCACCAGUCUUCCCACAUCCCCUCCAAUAUAAGUCAUAGUGAUAGUGAUCUUAUGACAAGAGCCAAUAAAACAAAAAACAAUAAAAUAAAAGAAGCUGAUGUUGACAGGACUUCUUGAAGACAUUUUAAACCAAAGCUUCUUUUAUAACAUGGGUAAACUGACCAAACAAGUUAUAAAAUAUCUACACAAACUGCAUGGUUUUAAUAAUAAUCAUAACAAUAAAAAGAUUUAUAGAAUGUCUCAGGUCUCCAGUCUCAUAUUAAGUGCUUUAUAAUUAUCUCUUUUGAUCCUCACAACUCUCAGAGAGAGGUGUUAUUAUUCUCAUUUUACAAAUAAGGAAACUGAAGCAAGCAAGAUAAAUGUCUUGUUCAUGGUCACACAGUUUGUAAAUAUUUAAGGCCAGAUAUGAACUGGGAUCUUCCUGACUCAGCUGUCUACUUUACUACUUCUCUUAUACAGCAUCAUGAUUCUCUCAGAAGGAAGCUCCCUAGGCACUACAUGUGGAAAGACAUCUUUCUCCAAGUAUAUAAGUUAAAUACUCCCUUGGAAUCUAAACUCCUUAAAUAUAGUCUAUGGUUUUGUACUUCCAGUAACCUGGCAAAUAACUAAAAUUUGGUUGAAUGAUACUGAAUUAAAAGGUAGCUUUUUUUAAUUCUGAAAUUUCUAAUCAUCUCUCCUACUUAUCAUCAUUAGCUCUAGAAUUUUGCUAUCUUCUACUCUUACAUAGCAAGAAUAUAAACUAAGAAUCAAGGAAAAAAAUGUAUUACUAUAUAGUCUGUUCUUAUCUCUGUUCUAGGGUCCAAUUCUAUAUUUAUAACCGCAUGCUACAUGUCCUCAGACAUUUCAACCUCAUAGUGUCCUGAAUUGAACUUAUCCUUUAGAAAUCUGCCUUUUUCUUCAAUUUUCCUAUUUCAGAUGAUGGCACGCAAUGUAAAAGUCUUUACUUUCACGACGACCUUUCCCCUAUUCUCUCUAUAUACACGCAAUAAAAUAUUUUAAAUUGUCAA